CCUACGGGAGGCAGCAGUGGGGAAUAUUGCACAAUGGGGGAAACCCUGAUGCAGCGACGCCGCGUGAGCGAUGAAGUAUUUCGGUAUGUAAAGCUCUAUCAGCAGGGAAGAAAAUGACGGUACCUGACUAAGAAGCCCCGGCUAACUACGUACCAGCAGCCGCGGUAAUACGUAGGGGGCAAGCGUUAUCCGGAUUUACUGGGUGUAAAGGGAGCGUAGACGGCUUGGCAAGCCAGAUGUGAAAGGCUGGGGCUCAACCCCAGGACUGCAUUUGGAACUGGCAUGCUAGAGUGUCGGAGAGGGAAGCAGAAUUCCUGGUGUAGCGGUGAAAUGCGUAGAUAUUAGGAAGAACACCAGUGGCGAAGGCGGCUUGCUGGACAGUGACUGACGUUGAGGCUCGAAAGCGUGGGGAGCAAACAGGAUUAGAUACCCCAGUAGUC
rnacentral:rRNA from 1 species